GUGAGGAAUAUUGGUCAAUGGGCGAGAGCCUGAACCAGCCAAGUAGCGUGCAGGAUGACGGCCCUAUGGGUUGUAAACUGCUUUUAUGCGGGGAUAAAGUGAGGGACGUGUCCCUUUUUGUAGGUACCGCAUGAAUAAGGACCGGCUAAUUCCGUGCCAGCAGCCGCGGUAAUACGGAAGGUCCGGGCGUUAUCCGGAUUUAUUGGGUUUAAAGGGAGCGCAGGCUGAUUGUUAAGCGUGACGUGAAAUGUAGCCGCUCAACGGCUGAACUGCGUCGCGAACUGGCAGUCUUGAGUGAGUACGACGUCAGCGGAAUUCGUGGUGUAGCGGUGAAAUGCUUAGAUAUCACGAAGAACCCCGAUUGCGAAGGCAGCUGACGAGUCCUUUACUGACGCUAAAGCUCGAAGGUGCGGGUAUCGAACAGG
rnacentral:rRNA from 1 species